GCAGGAGUAGGCUCGGGGGUCGAAGAAGGAGCAGAGGUUGCACCCGGCUGGAUGUCUGAAGGUUGUUUUCUUUUUCGGGAUAAGAGGGGGACAUAUUCAACCAGCCCAGCAUCAGGUGUUUGGUUUUCGGUUGGGAUUGUCGGGGGAGUGGCCGUCGAAGACGUUGGAAUUCGGAGUUCUUUGGCAGUGAGUGGAGUUAUCUUUGACCUUAGCUUCUUAACACGAAGAACUUUCGCCCUAUCGCAUAGAGGUAUGUCAAGCAAGCUCCUUUUAGUUGGAGUUGAUUCAGAAGGUGCAGUAACGGGGUCAGUUGGAGGGGUUGAUUGUGGGAUUGCUUCGGG
rnacentral:lncRNA from 1 species